rnacentral:rRNA from 1 species
UACGUAGGGGGCAAGCGUUGUCCGGAUUUAUUGGGCGUAAAGAGCUCGUAGGCGGCUCAGUAAGUCAGGUGUGAAAACUCCAGGCUCAACCUGGAGACGCCACCUGAUACUGCUGUGGCUAGAGUCCGGUAGGGGAGCAUGGAAUUCCUGGUGUAGCGGUGAAAUGCGCAGAUAUCAGGAGGAACACCGGUGGCGAAGGCGGGUCUCUGGGCCGAUACUGACGCUGAGGAGCGAAAGCAUGGGGAGCGAACAGG